rnacentral:lncRNA from 1 species
CGGCCGCCGGAGCAUCUCCCGCGGCGGAGCAGGAGCCGGAUGGUCAGAGGAGCCCGGCAGUCCCAGCAGCCGCGGAGUCGCCUGGCCCCCAGACUGUCUGGCACAGUGGAGAAACCACCUCGAAAACGGAAAAGCAGGUGCUUGUGCUGCCCGGGAGAUAUGUGCAUGUGAGCCAUCAAGGACCAGCAAUAUUAACUCUCUCUCUCUGGAGCUGGCGUUUCAGGAGGUUGUGAGUCACCCCAACAUAGGACUGAAUUUACUCUUAAAGAAACCAUGUCCUCUGGAGGUGCUGAAGAUGAUAUCCCACAGGGAGAGAGGAAGACAGUUACAGAUUUCUGUUAUCUUUUGGAUAAAUCCAAGCAACUGUUUAAUGGCUUAAGAGAUUUGCCUCAGUAUGGACAGAAGCAGUGGCAGUCCUACUUCGGAAGAACUUUUGAUGUUUACACCAAACUCUGGAAAUUCCAGCAGCAGCAUCGACAAGUCUUGGAUAAUCGGUAUGGCUUGAAGCGGUGGCAAAUAGGGGAAAUCGCUUCCAAGAUCGGGCAGCUGUAUUACCACUAUUAUUUACGAACUUCUGAGACCAGUUAUUUGAAUGAGGCUUUCUCCUUCUACUCUGCAAUCAGACAGAGGUCAUACUACUCUCAAGUCAACAAAGAGGACAGGCCUGAGUUGGUUGUUAAGAAACUCCGAUACUAUGCAAGAUUUAUAGUAGUUUGUCUUCUUCU